rnacentral:lncRNA from 1 species
CUGAACCAGAAAGUGACUAGAGACUAUGACCAUGCUGGAAACAUGGAGAUUGUCAGUUUCAGCUGCUGUUAAUUUGCAUUAUUGCUGAUGGGUGGCACUCUUUUGAAUGUAAGCAUUUCUUUCACUUGUAUAUAUUGUCUGUACUGCUUGUAUUGUGUAGGACAUUAGCACUGAGGAAGGGCUUGUUGCCCGAAACGUUUGUUUAUAUUGUGUCCUCUAAUAAACUGCAGUAGCACCUGGGUGUACACUACCUACUUGAUGCGCAGUAUUCCAUUUUUUGUCUAUCACCUAAAUAAGAUUAAUUAUAACAUCUCUAUUAAGGAAAAAAAAGCGAUGGAGGCUUUGAGUAGAGAUACCUCAAUAAUUAUAAAACCCGCCGACAAAGGCGGAGGAGUGGUCAUACAGGAUAAAGAUGUUUACUUACAUGAAGUAAAAAACCAAUUGGAUGAUAUUAAUACAUAUCUAAAGCUAAGGAAGGACCCAAUAAGUGAGAUUAAAGUAAAAUAUCAUUGUUUUCUAGAAAAAGGAGUAGAAACAAAAAUAUUGAAUAGAAAUGAAUGUUCUUUCCUUUCCCUGGAGAACCCAAGAGUGUCUGUUAUUUAUACACUUCCAAAGUUGCACAAAGAUUCCAUCCACCCCGGGGAGACCCAUACUAUCAGGGAUUCAUUCUAUUCUGUCAGCUCUGUCACAGUAUAUUGAUGCACAUUUGCAACCAUUAGUCAGAGGAUGUCCGUCAUUUUUACAGGACUCUAUGAGUCUUUUAAAUAUAUUACAAGAUUUUAAUUGGGAAGACUACUUUUAUUUGAUAACUUGUGAUGUCACAAGUUUAUAUACAAUAAUAGACCAUGACAAGGGUUGCGAGGCAGUAAAACAUGUUUUAAUUGAAUCAGGCCAAUUUCAAGAAAUACAGAUAGAUUUUAUUUUCGAGGGGAUUAGGAUGAUUUUAAAUAAUAAUUAUUUUUGUUCGAGGGAGACUUCUAUCUUCAGAUCAGAGGGAAUGCUAUGGGGACCAAGUUCGCACCGAUUUAUGCCAAUUUAUUCACGGCAUUUUGGGAAAAACAAUUUGUUUAUGGUGGCCAUGAAUUCGGUGCGCACUUGGUCCUCUAUAAGAGAUAUAUAGAUGAUAUCUUCCUGAUCUGGAAGGGACCUAUUCAACAAUUUUCAGCAAUUUCCUUUGUUUUUAAAUUCAAACACAUGGGUGAUUAAGCUUACCAAAGAUAUAAGCACAACAAACAUUAGUUUUUUUAGACCUGGAGAUUUAUAUUCACAAUGAUAGAAUCACGACCCGUACACACUUUAAACAAGUAGAUGUGAAUAGCUACCGAAAUAGAUAGUUGCCAUAAUUUUCCUUGGUUAAAAAAUAUACCCAAAGGGCAAUUUUUAAGACUUCGUAGGAACUGUUCUGAACAGUCAGUUUUUAGAAAUCAAGCUAACGCUUUGAAAGAGCAGUUUAAACAAAAGGGAUAUUCCGAGGAAAAAUUACAACAGGAGAUUAAUCAAGUCUUAGAAUCUGAUAGGGGUCAACUUUUAAAGUACAAAGAAAAAAACAUCUCACAAGAGAAGAAUGAAAUCCCCCUUAUUUUUAAUUAUGCAAGCAAUAUUCAUUGUCUUAAAAGAAUUAUUAAUAGAAAUUGGCACAUUUUAAGAUCAAGAUAUUUCAAAUUAUAUAGGGCCAAAACCCAGGUUUGUUUUUAGGGGAGCAAAAAAUUUUAGACAAAUCUUAACCACAAGUUUUAUUGAAAAAGAGAAAUCAAAAAACUUUUUAUCAAGUUGGGCAGAAAUUCAUAAAGGUUUCUAUCAUUGCGGAACUUGCAAUGCAUGCAAAAUUUCUAAUUGUAACAAUAAAAAUAUAAAGAGUUUUAUAUCCAAAACGACUGGAAGAUCGUAUAAUAUAAAAUGCCCCAUCACAUGUCAAUCAAAAGGAGUUAUUUAUUUAUUAUCAUGUGAAUGUGGGCUUCAGUAUGUGGGUAAAACUACCAGGGCACUUAAUAUAAUCAUUAGUGAACAUAUAAGAAAUAUAAAGAGAGGCUUCAACUAACCAUUUUUUUAGAUAAACAUAACUCUGAUUAGAAUUUUGUGCAACAGAAAAGUUACCAUGCAUUGGAGAGGGGGGAUUAUAAUAAAAAAACUAAGACUGCAUGAAACAAAAUGGAUUUUUGAAUUACGCACUUUAACCCCAAAAGAAUUGAACAUAGAUUUUGAAAUGAAUUCCAUUUUAUAAUCAAGCCCUUUUAAAUAGAAAUUGAUUAUUUAUUUCCAUUUUUUAUUAAGCUUUUAAUGGUCCUUUUUUAUACAAAAUGUCCCUUAUCUAUUUAUUUAUUUCUUGGGUUAUAUAUAUAUUUUUUUGUAUACAUUUAUUACACUGAGAUUUUUAUGAAGUGGUGAUGUGUAUGUCUUUUUUAAUGUGUGGUUAUUAGUUUGUAUUAAUAUGUACUUUUAUAUCUUUUUUUAAUGUUUUUACAUGGCUUUUGGGACUUUCGCCCUUUUCCAAAAUGGAGGCUUGUAAUAUACAAGGUAUUCCAUAAUACCACAGAACUUUGAGCACUAAUGGUAUGAACACUCCUCCCUCUUUCUGGAUUGGAAUUCGUAUGUAUUACGCGAAGAUGGGAGGAGCGUCCCGUCUCCAGUAGUGGAUGCCUAUAACAAUGCAGGCGGAAGCACGUCAUCGGGAGAUGUCACAUGACUCCGAAAACUGGAAAGCGGACGUCACCGGAAAAGGAUGUGCCGCCAUCUUGCUAACCCGGAAGAGACUGUAGUUAAUGAUAAUUUAUAUGUUAUAUGCCCAUAGAAAUAAUGUAUGUCUCUAUGACAUGCCGAAAACUGGAAGCACCACCAUCUUAGUGGUGGUGGGUUGCUUCCGGUCAAGGCCAUAUUUGGAAAUGUAAUUAUCCCAAUUUGCCUCUACACCUGUAACCCCACACCCUUUAGGGGGUAUAUAUAGGUGUACAGACUAUGGGAAAAAUAUGCUGCACCUGAGGAAGACCCCAAGAGGUCGAAACGCGUUGUGUUUUGUGGCUGAAACUUAUUUGUUAUUUUCUAUUUAUGGGAAUAAAAAUUCUACUUUGAACAAUCUUCCUUGAUUCCUGGGUUCCUGCAAUCCCAGUAAUAGAGGACCUUCAAGGAGAAAGACUCAGCAUAUCCCACUUUGGUGGAUGAAAUGCCUCUAUAGUCCAGAGUCUCACUUAUUUGGCUCUGGAAAUUGUGAGUGUACUUUUUCCCUUCCUGUAUUUUAUACAUUUAUUGAAAC